GUUCUGGUACGGUCGUACCAGAAACGGGCGCGGGACGGCGGAGACUGCCACCCGGCGCGCCACGU
rnacentral:ncRNA from 1 species